GGGCCCGUAGCUUAGCCUGGUGGAGCACUGCUCUUAUAAAGCAGGGGUCGUGAGUUCGAAUCUCGCCGGGCCCA
rnacentral:tRNA from 1 species